rnacentral:tRNA from 1 species
GGAGUUGUACCCAAGUCCGGCUGAAGGGGACGGACUCGAAAUCCGUUAGGAGUCGCAAGGCUCGCGUGGGUUCGAAUCCCACCAACUCCGC